rnacentral:rRNA from 1 species
UAUAAGCAAACUUUACUUGUGAAACUGCGAAUGGCUCAUUAAAUCAGUUAUAGUUUAUUUGAUAGUACCUUACUACUUGGAUAACCGUGGUAAUUCUAGAGCUAAUACAUGCUACAAAUCCCGACUUCUGGAAGGGAUGUAUUUAUUAGAUUAAAAACCAAUCCGGGCAACCGGUUUUCUGGUGAUUCAUAGUAACUUUUCGAAUCGCAUGGCUAUACGCCGGCGAUGGUUCAUUCAAAUUUCUGCCCUAUCAACUUUCGAUGGUACGGUAUUGGCCUACCAUGGUUUUAACGGGUAACGGGGAAUUAGGGUUCGGUUCCGGAGAGGGAGCCUGAGAAAUGGCUACCACAUCCAAGGAAGGCAGCAGGCGCGCAAAUUACCCAAUCUCGAUUCGAGGAGGUAGUGACAAGAAAUAACAAUCCAGGGCUCUCUGAGUCUUGGAAUUGGAAUGAGAACAAUUUAAAUCCCUUAACGAGGAACAAUUGGAGGGCAAUCUGGUGCCAGCAGCCGCGGUAAUUCCAGCUCCAAUAGCGUAUAUUAAAGUUGUUGCAGUUAAAAAGCUCGUAGUCGAACCUUGGGCUUGGCUGAAGGGUCUGCCUCACGGUACGUACUCUUCUGGCUGGGCCUUUCCUUCUGGCGAGCCAGGGUGCUCUUAAUUGAGUGCUUUGGGGAACCAGGACUUUUACUUUGAAAAAAUUAGAGUGUUCAAAGCAAGCAAUCGCUUGAAUACAUUAGCAUGGAAUAAUAGAAUAGGACUUUGGUUCUAUUUUGUUGGUUUCUAGAACCGGAGUAAUGAUUAAUAGGGAUAGUUGGGGGCAUUAGUAUUUAAUUGUCAGAGGUGAAAUUCUUGGAUUUAUGAAAGACUAACUUCUGCGAAAGCAUUUGCCAAGGAUGUUUUCAUUGAUCAAGAACGAAAGUUAGGNNUCGAAGACGAUCAGAUACCGUCGUAGUCUUAACCAUAAACUAUGCCAGCUCCGGAUCGGCCGGUGUUACUUUACGACCCGGUCGGCACGGUGUGAGAAAUCAAAGCUUUUGGGUUCUGGG